AUUGAACGCUGGCGGAAUGCUUUACACAUGCAAGUCGAACGGUAGAGGGGGCAACCCCUUGAGAGUGGCGAACGGGUGAGUAAUAUAUCGGAACGUGCCCAGUCGUGGGGAUAACGUAGCGAAAGUUACGCUAAUACCGCAUACGAUCUAAGGAUGAAAGCGGGGGAUCGCAAGACCUCGCGCGAUUGGAGCGGCCGAUAUCAGAUUAGGUAGUUGGUGAGGUAAAGGCUCACCAAGCCAACGAUCUGUAGCUGGUCUGAGAGGACGACCAGCCACACUGGAACUGAGACACGGUCCAGACUCCUACGGGAGGCAGCAGUGGGGAAUUUUGGACAAUGGACGCAAGUCUGAUCCAGCCAUUCCGCGUGCAGGAUGAAGGCCCUCGGGUUGUAAACUGCUUUUGUACGGUAACGAAAGGUUUGUCUUAAUACGAUGAGCUCAUGACGGUACCGUAAGAAUAAG
rnacentral:rRNA from 1 species